rnacentral:rRNA from 1 species
GGAAUUUUCCGCAAUGGGCGAAAGCCUGACGGAGCAACGCCGCGUGAGGGAUGAAGGCCUCUGGGCUGUAAACCUCUUUUCUCAAGGAAGAAGAUCUGACGGUACUUGAGGAAUAAGCCACGGCUAAUUCCGUGCCAGCAGCCGCGGUAAUACGGGAGUGGCAAGCGUUAUCCGGAAUUAUUGGGCGUAAAGCGUCCGCAGGCGGCCUUACAAGUCUGUCGUUAAAGCGUGGAGCUUAACUCCAUUUCAGCGAUGGAAACUGUAAGGCUAGAGUGUGGUAGGGGCAGAGGGAAUUCCCGGUGUAGCGGUGAAAUGCGUAGAUAUCGGGAAGAACACCAGUGGCGAAGGCGCUCUGCUGGGCCAUAACUGACGCUCAUGGACGAAAGCCAGGGGAGCGAAAGGGAUUAGAUACCCCUGUAGUCCUGGCCGUAAACGAUGAACACUAGGUGUCGGGGGAAUCGACCCCCUCGGUGUCGUAGCCAACGCGUUAAGUGUUCCGCCUGGGGAGUACGCACGCAAGUGUGAAACUCAAAGGAAUUGACGG